UACGUAGGGUGCGAGCGUUAAUCGGAUUUACUGGGCGUAAAGCGUACGUAGGCGGCUUGUUAAGCAAGAUGUGAAAUCCCCGGGCUCAACCUGGGAAUGGCAUUUUGAACUGGCAGGCUCGAGUUCUGAAGAGGGUGGUAGAAUUUCCAGUGUAGCGGUGAAAUGCGUAGAUAUUGGAAGGAAUACCGGUGGCGAAGGCGGCCACCUGGGCUAAUACUGACACUGAGGUGCGAAAGCGUGGGGAGCAAACAGG
rnacentral:rRNA from 1 species